UACGUAGGGUGCGAGCGUUAAUCGGAAUCACUGGGCGUAAAGCGUGCGCAGGCGGUUUGUUAAGACAGAUGUGAAAUCCCCGGGCUUAACCUGGGAACUGCAUUUGUGACUGGCAAGCUAGAGUAUGGCAGAGGGGGGUAGAAUUCCACGUGUAGCAGUGAAAUGCGUAGAGAUGUGGAGGAACACCGAUGGCGCAAGGCAGCCCCCUGGGUCAAGAUUGACGCUCAUGCACGAAAGCGUGGGGAGCAAACAGG
rnacentral:rRNA from 1 species